UACGUAGGGUGCAAGCGUUAAUCGGAUUUACUGGGCGUAAAGCGCACGUAGGCGGGUUGUUAAGUCAGGGGUGAAAUCCUGGAGCUCAACUCCAGAACUGCCUUUGAUACUGGCAACCUAGAGGCUGGAAGAGGUUAGUGGAAUUCCCAGUGUAGAGGUGAAAUUCGUAGAUAUUGGGAAGAACACCAGUGGCGAAGGCGGCUAACUGGUCCAGAUCUGACGCUGAGGUGCGAAAGCGUGGGGAGCAAACAGG
rnacentral:rRNA from 1 species